rnacentral:rRNA from 1 species
UACGGAGGAUGCGAGCGUUAUCCGGAUUUAUUGGGUUUAAAGGGUGCGCAGGCGGUCUGUUAAGUCAGCGGUCAAAGCCCGGGGCUCAACCCCGGCCCGCCGUUGAAACUGGCAGUCUCGAGUUGGAGAGAAGUAUGCGGAAUGCGCGGUGUAGCGGUGAAAUGCAUAGAUAUCGCGCAGAACUCCGAUUGCGAAGGCAGCAUGCCGGCUCCACACUGACGCUGAGGCACGAAAGCGUGGGUAUCGGACAGG